AACGAACGCUGGCGGCAGGCUUAACACGUGCAAGUCGAACGCCCCGCAAGGGGAGUGGCAGACGGGUGAGUAACGCGUGGGAACGUGCCCUUCGCUUCGGAAUAGCCCCGGGAAACUGGGAGUAAUACCGAAUACGCCGUAUUGGGAAAGAUUUAUCGGCGAAGGAUCGGCCCGCGUUAGAUUAGCUAGUUGGCGGUGUAAUGGACCACCAAGGCUACGAUCUAUAGCUGGUCUGAGAGGAUGAUCAGCCACACUGGGACUGAGACACGGCCCAGACUCCUACGGGAGGCAGCAGUGGGGAAUCUUGGACAAUGGGCGCAAGCCUGAUCCAGCCAUGCCGCGUGAGUGAAGAAGGCCUUAGGGUUGUAGAACUCUUUCGCCGGAGAAGAUAAUGACGGUAUCCGGAGAAGAAGCCCCGGCUAACUUCGUGCCAGCCGCCGCCGUAAGAC
rnacentral:rRNA from 1 species